rnacentral:rRNA from 1 species
UACGUAGGGUGCGAGCGUUAAUCGGAAUUACUGGACGUAAAGCGUGCGCAGGCGGUCUGUUAAGACCGAUGUGAAAUCCCCGGGCUUAACCUGGGAACUGCAUUGGUGACUGGCAGGCUUUGAGUGUGGCAGAGGGAGGUAGAAUUCCACGUGUAGCAGUGAAAUGCGUAGAGAUGUGGAGGAAUACCGAUGGCGAAGGCAGCCUCCUGGGCCAACACUGACGCUCAUGCACGAAAGCGUGGGGAGCAAACAGG